UAGCGUAGGGGGCAAGCGUUGUCCGGAUUUAUUGGGCGUAAAGAGCUCGUAGGCGGUUUGGUAAGUCUGGUGUGAAAUCUCCACGCUCAACGUGGAGGGGCCACCCGAUACUGCCAUGACUGGAGUCCGGUAGAGGAGUGUGGAAUUCCCGGUGUAGCGGUGAAAUGCGCAGAUAUCGGGAGGAACACCCGUAGCGAAGGCGGCACUCUGGGCCGGUACUGACGCUGAGGAGCGAAAGCGUGGGGAGCGAACAGG
rnacentral:rRNA from 1 species